rnacentral:rRNA from 1 species
UACGUAGGGGGCAAGCGUUGUCCGGAAUCAUUGGGCGUAAAGCGCGUGUAGGCGGCCCGGUAAGUCCGCUGUGAAAGUCCAGGGCUCAACCCUGGGAUGCCGGUGGAUACUGUCGGGCUCGAGUCCGGAAGAGGCGAGUGGAAUUCCUGGUGUAGCGGUGAAAUGCGCAGAUAUCAGGAGGAACACCGAUGGCGAAGGCAGCUCGCUGGGACGUGACUGACGCUGAGACGCGAAAGCGUGGGGAGCAAACAGG